GUACGAUAAUGGCAAAACCAUUGAAAAAUGGUGACGCAAAGCUAUAGGGGCUAAGGUCAAAUUGAUUAUGCUCGCCAGCUUCCGAA
rnacentral:ncRNA from 1 species